CUACGGGGUGCAGCAGUGGGGAAUCUUGGACAAUGGGCGCAAGCCUGAUCCAGCCAUGCCGCGUGAGUGAAGAAGGCCUUAGGGUCGUAAAACUCUUUCGCCAGAGAUGAUAAUGACAGUAUCUGGUAAAGAAACCCCGGCUAACUCCGUGCCAGCAGCCGCGGUAGUACGGAGGGGGUUAGCGUUGUUCGGAAUUACUGGGCGUAAAGCGCGCGUAGGCGGAUUAGUCAGUCAGAGGUGAAAUCCCAGGGCUCAACCCUGGAACUGCCUUUGAUACUGCUAGUCUUGAGUUCGAGAGAGGUGAGUGGAAUUCCGAGUGUAGAGGUGAAAUUCGUAGAUAUUCGGAGGAACACCGGUGGCGAAGGCGGCUCACUGGCUCGAUACUGACGCUGAGGUGCGAAAGUGUGGGGAGCAAACAGGAUUAGAUACCCUUGUAGUC
rnacentral:rRNA from 1 species